rnacentral:rRNA from 1 species
GCAUGGCAAUGCCGUCAAAUAUUUAUAGGCACAGGAUGGGCCCGCGUCUGAUUAGCUAGUUGGCGGGGCAACGGCCCACCAAGGCGACGAUCAGUAGCCGGCCUGAGAGGGUGAACGGCCACAUUGGGACUGAGACACGGCCCAAACUCCUACGGGAGGCAGCAGUGGGGAAUAUUGGACAAUGGGGGAAACCCUGAUCCAGCGACGCCGCGUGAGUGAAGAAGUAUUUCGGUAUGUAAAGCUCUAUCAGCAGGGAAGAUGAUGACGGUACCUGACUAAGAAGCACCGGCUAAAUACGUGCCAGCAGCCGCGGUAAUACGUAUGGUGCAAGCGUUAUCCGGAUUUACUGGGUGUAAAGGGAGCGUAGGCGGCCGUGCAAGUCAGGCGUGAAAGCCCGGGGCUCAACCCCGGGACUGCGCUUGAAACUGCGUGGCUGGAGUACAGGAGAGGCAGGCGGAAUUCCUAGUGUAGCGGUGAAAUGCGUAGAUAUUAGGAAGAGCACCGGUGGCGAAGGCGGCCUGCUGGACUGGAUACUGACGCUGAGGCUCGAAAGCGUGGGGAGCAAACAGGAUUAGAUACC